rnacentral:rRNA from 1 species
AGAGUUUGAUCCUGGCUCAGGACGAACGCUGGCGGCGUGCCUAAUACAUGCAAGUAGAACGCUGAAGAGAGGAGCUUGCUCUUCUUGGAUGAGUUGCGAACGGGUGAGUAACGCGUAGGUAACCUGCCUUGUAGCGGGGGAUAACUAUUGGAAACGAUAGCUAAUACCGCAUAACAAUGGAUGACACAUGUCAUUUAUUUGAAAGGGGCAAUUGCUCCACUACAAGAUGGACCUGCGUUGUAUUAGCUAGUAGGUGAGGUAACGGCUCACCUAGGCGACGAUACAUAGCCGACCUGAGAGGGUGAUCGGCCACACUGGGACUGAGACACGGCCCAGACUCCUACGGGAGGCAGCAGUAGGGAAUCUUCGGCAAUGGGGGCAACCCUGACCGAGCAACGCCGCGUGAGUGAAGAAGGUUUUCGGAUCGUAAAGCUCUGUUGUAAGUCAAGAACGAGUGUGAGAGUGGAAAGUUCACACUGUGACGGUAGCUUACCAGAAAGGGACGGCUAACUACGUGCCAGCAGCCGCGGUAAUACGUAGGUCCCGAGCGUUGUCCGGAUUUAUUGGGCGUAAAGCGAGCGCAGGCGGUUUGAUAAGUCUGAAGUUAAAGGCUGUGGCUCAACCAUAGUUCGCUUUGGAAACUGUCAAACUUGAGUGCAGAAGGGGAGAGUGGAACUCCAUGUGUAGCGGUG